AAGACUAUACUUUCAGGGAUCAUUUCUACAGUUCUUGACUUGGAAGUGUGUUUCUAAAGUGCUACGUCUCGCUACCCACGAUGACGAGUCUUGGUGUUCUUUUCUGAGAGCGAGUCGGAUAGAAGGUUUUGGGUCCAAAUACUAGUUGUGGCUUCAUAACGUGCAGCGUUCCACCAGUGUAACGCUGUAAUAGCCAUUGAAAAGACUACACUGUGAU